rnacentral:tRNA from 1 species
GCGGGAGUGGUGAAAUUGGUAUACACGCCAGAUUUAGGUUCUGGUGCCGAGAGGCGUGAGGGUUCAAGUCCCUUCUCCCGUACAA